UACGAAGGGGGCUAGCGUUACUCGGAAUUACUGGGCGUAAAGGGCGCGUAGGCGGGUUCGCAAGUCAGGGGUGAAAUCUUUCAGCUUAACUGGAAAACAGCCCCUGAUACUGCGAGUCUCGAGGGAGGUAGGGGCAUGUGGAACUUCCGGUGGAGCGGUGAAAUGCGUAGAUAUCGGAAGGAACGCCGGUGGCGAAAGCGACGUGCUGGACCUCUUCUGACGCUGAGGCGCGAAAGCUAGGGGAGCAAACGGG
rnacentral:rRNA from 1 species